rnacentral:rRNA from 1 species
UACGAAGGGGGCUAGCGUUGCUCGGAAUCACUGGGCGUAAAGGGUGCGUAGGCGGGUCUUUAAGUCAGGGGUGAAAUCCUGGAGCUCAACUCCAGAACUGCCUUUGAUACUGAAGAUCUUGAGUAUGGGAGAGGUGAGUGGAACUGCGAGUGUAGAGGUGAAAUUCGUAGAUAUUCGCAAGAACACCAGUGGCGAAGGCGGCUCACUGGCCCAUUACUGACGCUGAGGCACGAAAGCGUGGGGAGCAAACAGGG